rnacentral:rRNA from 1 species
CCAAUCCCGUCCGAUCUCAGAAGCUCAGCAGGGUCGGGCCUGGUUAGUACUUGAAUGGGAGACCGCCUAGGAAGACCAGGUGCUGUAGGCG